rnacentral:lncRNA from 1 species
AAGCUAAAGCUAGGUCUUUUCCUUUGCCUUUGCCUCAUAUCAAAACAUUACUACUACACUACAAUACAAGCUUAUUGUCUCUUGCUCUCUCGAGUCUCUCCCCUCUCCCCCCUCUCUCUCACAUUUAGAAAGUUACAAUGGAGAUUGGAAAUGCUGCUGCUGCCAUGAAAAGCUCAAAGAAGAAGGUUUCAUGCACAAAGCUUGGAGGGUAUUUGAAGGAACAAAAAGGAAGACUAUACAUUAUCAGAAGAUGUGUGGUCAUGCUCCUUUGCUGGCACGACUGAAUGCAAAAUGAAAAUGGAGUUGCUAGCUAGCACUUGAUGAUGCAUUCUCCAUCAACGAUUCUGUGCAAUUUGCUGCAAAUUGGAAUUUGAUCUCUUUAUUUUCUUCUCUAACUGUACAUAGCAACGAUAAUUGUUAGGGAUUAAUUAUUAGUAAUUCGGAUAUAAUAAAUUAUUUUCUUUGGUGCAAGAGUACUUUGCCACAUUGGGCCUGUUAUGUACAUGGAAAUUAGUAGUUUCAAUUUCUAGAUUUCACUCAUUGAACAUUUU